rnacentral:rRNA from 1 species
UAAAACGUAGGAGGCGAGCGUUAUCCGGAUUUACUGGGCGUAAAGCGCGUGUAGGCGGUUUGGCAAGUUGGAUGUGAAAGCUCCCGGCUUAACUGGGAGAGGUCGUUCAAUACUGCCAGACUAGAGGACAGUAGAGGAAGGUGGAAUUCCGGGUGUAGUGGUGAAAUGCGUAGAUAUCCGGAGGAACACCAGUGGCGAAAGCGGCCUUCUGGACUGUAUCUGACGCUCAGACGCGAAAGCUAAGGGAGCAAACGGGAUUAGAGACCCCGGUAGUCUUAGCUGUAAACGAUGUAGACUUGGCGUUGGUGGGUUUAAAUCCAUCAGUGCCGAAGCAAACGCGAUAAGUCUACCGCCUGGGGACUACGGCCGCAAGGUUAAAACUCAAAGGAAUUGACGG